AAGAUCCUCCAGCCCGACAGGGGGCGAUAAGCCGAUCCUUACGCGGAUUUGCCUCGCUGGAGUAAUCCGGAAGAGGCCUCUUAUUAGGGCUCUGGAGGAGGCGGCGGCGGAUACUUGGGGUCUGGACGCGACGGUGGCGGGAGCAUGAACGCCCCUCCAGCCUUCGAGUCGUUCUUGCUCUUCGAGGGCGAGAAGAAGAUCACCAUUAACAAGGACACCAAGGUACCCAAUGCCUGUUUAUUCACCAUCAACAAAGAAGACCACACACUGGGAAACAUCAUUAAAUCACAACUCCUAAAGGACCCGCAGGUGCUAUUUGCUGGCUACAAAGUUCCCCACCCCUUGGAGCACAAGAUCAUCAUCCGAGUGCAGACCACGCCGGACUACAGCCCCCAGGAAGCCUUCACCAACGCCAUCACCGACCUCAUCAGCGAGUUGUCCCUGCUGGAGGAGCGCUUCCGGGUGAGGGCGGGGCCUGGAGGGGCGGGCGGCGUGGGCUGGACACCGGCCCAUGUGCCCAUGCCUGGGACAGCCCUGGCCUGUUUCUUCGGAGGUCCUCGGGGAGAGGCAGUGGUAAUGGAAGGGCAGGGACUUCCACCACAGGCUCCAGGACGUGUGGACUGAGAGGUUGUGGAGUCCAGGCCUGCAGCUUGCCUGCCCCAUGGGACUUCCGUAGCACGGCAGGGUCCCCUCGUGUGCUGUGGCCAUUAAAGACAAGCAGGAAGGAAUUGAGUAGGGGCCAGAGGGGGCUCUGCUCAGCCUGUGAGCCCAGUUCCUACCUGCGCCUGACUCUUUGCUCCAGGCACUACGCCGAGGAGAGCGGCCAGUCCCAGCCAUGGCCCACCUUGUGACCACCCCUCACCCUGACACCGACAUAUCCUGUACAUAGAUUAGGUUUUAUAUUCCUAAUAAAGGAUGGUGGAAGAGACUUGGA